UUUAAGGUCUAACCUGCCCAAUGAUUAUUUUAAUGGCCGCGGUAUUUUGACCGUGCUAAGGUAGCAUAAUAAUUAGUUUUUUAAUUGGGAGCUGGAAUGAAUGGUUGAAUAAGGAAAAUACUGUCUCUAAGGAAUUUUAUUAGAAUUUUAUUUUUAAGUCAAAAAGCUUAAAUUUUAUUUAAAGACGAGAAGACCCUAUAGAGUUUUAUAAAUUUUAGAAUAUUUAUUUUUUAGGAUUAAUCUUUUUAGAGUUUUAUAUUUAUUUAGUUGGGGUGACUAGAAAAUUCAGUAAACUUUUUUUAAUUAGAAACAUUUAUAAAUGAUAAAGUGAUCCAUUAUUUGUGAUUAUAAGGAAAAAUUACCUUAGGGAUAACAGCGUUAUUAUUUUUAGAGUUCUUAUCGAAAAAAUAGUUUGCGACCUCGAUGUUGGAUUAAAAUUAAAUUUUGGUGCAGGAGCUUUAAAUUUAGGUCUGUUCGACCUUUAAAAUUUUACA
rnacentral:rRNA from 1 species